CCUUCCAAGGCUACAAGAUGAUCUAAAUCUUUUCUGAGAUGGGUGAGAUAAUCACCCUUUACGAACAGAACACAACACGUCUCCAAACCAGCUCUGGGAAUUGGGUCAAAAUUCAUUAUCCAGUUGAUGAUCCACGAGAUGAAGAGGAACUGAACAUUGCUGAUAUUGAUUGGGAAAGCAGUGGAUUGGCUCCUGAUGAAAGUGUUGGUGUUAAUGUUCUACUGUAGAAUGUCCUCUUACACCAUUCUACAUGAACAUGUGCGUAGAUGAACUGCAUCAAAAUUGACCUACAAGUCCAAACAACACAGAGCAAACUGUGGUACUGUUAACAUUUAUAGACAUGGUGUCUGUAUUACUGUAUUGAUUU